rnacentral:rRNA from 1 species
CAAUAGCGUAUAUUAAAGUUGUUGCAGUUAAAAAGCUCGUAGUUGAAUUUUUGCUUGCCGCCGAUGUCGGAACUUCCGUACGUUCGGCGGCGUGCAUCCUUGGGUGGAACCUGUGUGGCAUUAGGUUGUCGUGCAGGGGAUGCUCAUCGUUUACUGUGAAAAAAUUAGAGUGUUCAAAGCAGGCUUACGCCGUUGAAUAUAUUAGAAUGGAAUAAUAAGAUAGGACCUUGGUACUAUUUUGUUGGUUUGCGCACCGAGGUAAUGAUUAACAGGGACAGUUGGGGGUAUUCGUAUUCCAUUGUCAGAGGUGAAAUUCUUGGAUUUCUGGAAGACGAACUACUGCGAAAGCAUUUACCAAGGAUGUUUUCAUUAA